GGAAUUGGUUCUGAUCGAUCGGAAUUCGUCACCGGAUGUAAAAUUUUUGGAAAAAAGGUCCAGGUGUCCAGACACCUCCCAAAAUCUACACGCGGACCACUCUUUAAAAACACUGUUUUGUGAUUUUCUUUCCAUUUUUCACCCAAACUUCGACCUAAACACCUUUCUAACUUCAUUUUCUCUCAACAAUACUCCUCUCUAUCAUCCAAGAUCAUCAACUAAGUAAGCAGGUUGAGGGACAGCUGUCGGGCACGUGAUGUGAGCGUAGUCCAUUUUAUUCUAUUUACACUUUGAAUUUCUAGUAGAACUACCUUGUUUACUAGGAUAUUGGUUAAUUACGCUCUUUAACAUAUUAUGAUUGUUGCCAUGUUGGUAUGGUAUUCCUGGAUAUGAUUUUGGUUUAUGUUUUAUGUUACUUUGGUGUUUAGACACCUGAUGGGACAUUCCUAUAUUUGGAUGUCCGGAUACGUAAUGUGCAUGGAUUAGACAGGUUGCAUGGUUUGCGUCUUGAA